rnacentral:rRNA from 1 species
AGAGUUUGAUCAUGGCUCAGGACGAACGCUGACGGUGUGCUUUAGGCAUGCAAGUCGAACGAGAAAGCCCUUCGGGGUGAGUAGAGUGGCGAACGGGUGAGUAACACGUGGGCAACCUGCCCCUCGCAGGGGGAUAACCGGAGGAAACUCCGGCUAAUACCCCGUAAGCUUUCAGGGUCGCAUGGCUCUGUAAGGAAAGGUAGCUUCGGCCAUCCGGCGAGGGAUGGGCCCGCGGUGCAUUAGCUAGUUGGUGGGGUAAUGGCCCACCAAGGCGACGAUGCGUAGCUGGUCUGAGAGGAUGAUCAGCCACACUGGGACUGAGACACGGCCCAGACUCCUACGGGAGGCAGCAGCCAGGAAUCUUGGGCAAUGGGCGAAAGCCUGACCCAGCAACACCGUGUGGGCGAUGAAGGCCUUCGGGUCGUAAGGCCCUGUUGAUAGGGACGAAGGGCGAAGGGUUAAUAGCCCCUAGCCUGACGGUACCUUUCGAGGAAGCCCCGGCUAACUACGUGCCAGCAGCCGCGGUAAUACGUAGGGGGCGAGCGUUGUCCGGAAUUAUUGGGCGUAAAGAGCGUGUAGGCGGUUCGGUAAGUCUGCCGUGAAAACCUGAGGCUCAACCUCGGGCGUGCGGUGGAUACUGCCGGGCUAGAGGACGGUAGAGGCGAGUGGAAUUCCCGGUGUAGCGGUGAAAUGCGCAGAUAUCGGGAGGAACACCAGUAGCGAGGGCGGCUCGCUGGGCCGUUCCUGACGCUGAGACGCGAAAGCUAGGGGAGCGAACAGGAUUAGAUACCCUAGUAGUCC